rnacentral:rRNA from 1 species
AGUCACUGACAUUAGAUACCCCUGGUAGUCCAGGGUGUAAACGCUGCAGACUUGGUGUUGGAGGCCCUUUGGGGGCAUUCAGUGCCGGAGAGAAGUUGUUAAGUCUGCUACUUGGGGAGUACGUCCGCAAGGAUGAAACUUAAAGGAAUUGGCGGGGGAGCACCGCAACGGGAGGAGCGUGCGGUUUAAUUGGAUUCAACACCGUAAAACUCACCAGGGAAGACUGUUACAUGAAGGCCGAGAUGAAGACUCUGCUAGAUUUUCAG